rnacentral:ncRNA from 1 species
UUAAUAGUUAUAUAUUUAUCUUAAAGAUUAAGUUAUAUAUAUCUAAAUAUAAGUAAUUAUAUAGUGAAAUUAUAAAUAACUUAUUAUAUAAAUUAUUAUUUAUUUAAUAGUAUUUUACUAUUUAGAUAAUUAUAGUAAUUCUAAAGUUAAUAUAUAUUAAAAAUCCUAACUUUAGAAAGGAUAUAUUUAUUAGAUUAAAAACUAAUAUUUUUUAGAACUUACUAAUAAUUUAUAAUAACUUCUUAAAUUGUAUAAUUUUAUAUUAGUAAUAGUUUAUUUAAAUUUCUUCCCUAUUAAUUUUUAAUAUUAAAAUAAUAUUCUAGUAUAAUUAUAAUAAGUAAUAGAAAGUUAGGAUUUAAUUCUAAAGAAAAAGCUUAAGAAAUAGCUAUUAUAUCUAAAGAAAGUAGUAGGUAUAUAAAUUCCUUAAUCUUAAUAUAGAGAAAUAGUAAUAAUAAAUAUUAAUAUAAAGUUUUUUUAAAUUUUAUAAUUAGAAUAAAUAUAAUUUAAAUCUCUUAAUAAGGAAUAAUUAGAAAGUAAGUUUAAUAUUAGUAGCUAUAGUAAUUCUAACUCUAAUAAUAUAUAUUAAAGUUAUUAUAAUUAAAAAACUUAUAGUAGAACCUUAGGUCUAGCUAACUAGUCUAUCUUAUUAUAUAUAUUAAUCUAGCUAAGCUUUUCCCUCUAUAGAACUAUAUAUUUUUUAUUAGGUAUACUAGGGAAACAAGAUUUUUACUUUAAAAAAAUUAGAGUAUUCUAAAUAAGUUUAUACUUAAAUAUAUUAAUAUAGAAUAAUAGAAUAAGAUAUAUAGUUCUAUUUUAUUAGUUUCUAGGACUAUUAUAAUAAUUAAUAGGAAUAGUUAGGAAUAUUAGUAUUUAAUUAUUAGAAGUAAAAUUCUUAGAUUUCUUAAAAACUAAUUAUUAUAAAAGUAUUUACUAAAGAUAUUUUUAUUUAUUAGGAAUAAAAGUUAGAAGAUUAAAAAUAAUUAGAUACUAUUAUAGUUUUAACUAUAAACUAUACUAACUAAAAAUUAGAUAAUAUUAUUUUUUAACUUAUUUAGUAUUUUAUAAGAAAUUAAAAUAGUUAAGCUUUA